CUCAUGGAGAUGUCCAUCGAUCUUCCAGGAUUACUGCCUAACUCAACGCACCUCUUACUGGAUCCCGAUGGGAACCCACAGGCACUCUAGGAUGUCUUUGUUUCCCAUAGCCCCAUUGUGGACUGCACAACCUUGGUUCCCUUUACUCAUGGAGAUGUCCAUCACUCUUCCCAGAUUGCUGCCUGACUCAAUGCACCUCUUACUGGAUCCCGAUGGGAACCCACAUCCCCUUCUGAUUUAAGUGCACCUCAGACUCUUAGCGUGGCUCCUCUCCGGGUACCCUGGGUUGUGCCAGAUGUUCCACAAUCAACUCUCGACUUACUGGCGGGGGACUGGGUCCCUGGAACAAGACGAUCCUACGGCCAUGAUUGGAACACAUCAAGUUGG